UUGUAGCUCAGCGGUAGAGCGCUCGCCUCCCACAUGUGAGACCUUGGGUUCGAUCCACCACAUAAA
rnacentral:tRNA from 1 species